rnacentral:lncRNA from 1 species
UCAAAGGUAAUAAUUUCAUUCCAGGGUUAAAAGGAGAUGAUGUAAUAGUGGUUAAAAGUCAUGAAGCAUUGCACUUUAUAGUUGCAGUAUGUUUAUCAAAUACGGAAAUAGCACAAACCAGAACCAUACAACAGAACUAAACAUCAUAACACAUAGAGAGAACCAUAAACCCGAACCAGAAACGGAACGGUCUCAAACCUAAUCUAAUUACCAACCACCACCGCCGCCUCCUCCGUAACCUCCAUCAUCACCACCUCCUUAUCCCCCACCCUCACGUUUGCCACCUUCACCGUAUCCUCCGCCACCACCUCCUCUCGAGGAGUAGCCACCUCCACCACCACCAUUGUAUUCACCCUCGCGUCUUCCACCACCGAAACCACCACCACCUUUGUAACCGAUCAUACAUUAAAAGAGAAAGGGAAUUCAUCAUAACACAUAGAGAGAACCAUAAACCCGAACAGCAGAACUAAACAUCAUAACACAUAGAGAGAACCAUAAACCCGAACCAGAAACGGAACGGUCUCAAACCUAAUCUAAUUACCAACC